CGAAAUGCGAUACGUAGUGUGAAUUGCAGAAUUCCGUGAACCAUCGAAUCUUUGAARGCAAAUUGCGCUCGAGGCCUCGGCCAAGAGCAUGUCUGCCUCAGCGUCGGCU
rnacentral:rRNA from 1 species